rnacentral:lncRNA from 1 species
CAAGAAUCAGAGCACAUACUCACACAGCUGAAUACCCCUUCCUGCGAAACUUCCCUCAGUUAAGGCUGCCACAUUCUGCAUGGAGUGGAAGGAAGAACAGUGGCUGUGCUGGAGAUGCCCAGUGACAUCUGAGUUGGCCAGGGAUGAUAGCACACCAGCGACGUGGAAGACCAGGAUAAUACAGUCAUCUAUAGAGAGAGAUACUGUUUAGAAGACUGGGAAUUCCACAUAUAAAACAACACAAGGUUUUAGAACCAAG